rfam:Pseudomonas sp. VI4.1 NODE_59_length_40282_cov_20.0083, whole genome shotgun sequence.
UUGGUUAGAACUCAACACAGGUUGACGUCGCAACGGUGUCAACACCUUGGCUCGCGACGCCGGCAGCGAGCCCCAACGGCAGGAGUUUUUCUGCCAGACCUCAAUUGAGGUCGACGCGAUACAUACAGUCAAC